rnacentral:rRNA from 1 species
AGUGAACGCUGGCGGUAGGCCUAACACAUGCAAGUCGAACGGCAGCACAGUAAGAGCUCGCUCUUACGGGUGGCGAGUGGCGGACGGGUGAGGAAUACAUCGGAAUCUACUUUUUCGUGGGGGAUAACGUAGGGAAACUUACGCUAAUACCGCAUACGACCUACGGGUGAAAGCAGGGGAUCUUCGGACCUUUCGCGAUUGAAUGAGCCGAUGUCGGAUUAGCUAGUUGGCGGGGUAAAGGCCCACCAAGGCGACGAUCCGUAGCUGGUCUGAGAGGAUGAUCAGCCACACUGGAACUGAGACACGGUCCAGACUCCUACGGGAGGCAGCAGUGGGGAAUAUUGGACAAUGGGCGCAAGCCUGAUCCAGCCAUGCCGCGUGAGUGAAGAAGGCCUUCGGGUUGUAAAGCCCUUUUGUUGGGAAAGAAAAGCAGCAGGUUAAUACCCCGCUGUUCUGACGGUACCCAAAGAAUAAGCACCGGCUAACUUCGUG